GACGAACGCUGGCGGCGUGCUUAACACAUGCAAGUCGAACGGAAAGGCCCUGCUUUUGUGGGGUGCUCGAGUGGCGAACGGGUGAGUAACACGUGAGUAACCUGCCCUUGACUUUGUGAUAACUUCAGGAAACUGGGGCUAAUACCGGAUAGGAGCUCCUGCUGCAUGGUGGGGGUUGGAAAGUUUCGGCGGUUGGGGAUGGACUCGCGGCUUAUCAGCUUGUUGGUGGGGUAGUGGCUUACCAAGGCUUUGACGGGUAGCCGGCCUGAGAGGGUGACCGGCCACAUUGGGACUGAGAUACGGCCCAGACUCCUACGGGAGGCAGAAGUGGGGAAUAUUGCACAAUGGGCGGAAGCCUGAUGCAGCAACGCCGCGUGCGGGAUGACGGCCUUCGGGUUGUAAACCGCUUUCGCCUGUGACGAAGCGUGAGUGACGGUAAUGGGUAAAGAAGCACCGGCUAACUACGUG
rnacentral:rRNA from 1 species